rnacentral:rRNA from 1 species
GAUGAACGCUAGCUACAGGCUUAACACAUGCAAGUCGAGGGGUCUUUUGGAGCUUGCUUUAAAAGACGGCCGGCGCACGGGUGAGUAACGCGUAUCCAACCUGCCCUUCAUAUUGGGAUAGCCUUCCGAAAGGAAGAUUAAUACCGAAUAACAUGAUAGGGUUGCCUGAUUUUAUCAUGAAAGCUCCGGCGAUGAAGGAUGGGGAUGCGUUCCAUUAGGUAGUAGGCGGGGUAACGGCCGACCUAGCCGACGAUGGAUAGGGGUUCUGAGAGGAAGGUCCCCCACACUGGAACUGAGACACGGUGCAGACUCCUACGUGAGGCAGCAGUGUGGAAUAUUGGUCAAUGGGCGCAAGCCUGAACCAGCCAAGUAGCGUGAAAGAUGACUGCCCUAUGGGUUGUAAACUUCUUUUAUACGGGAACAAACCCUGGUACGUGUACCAGAUUGCGUGUACCGUAUGAAUAAGCAUCGGCUAACUCCGUGCCAGCAGCCGCGGUAAUAC